CCGAGAUAGGGGUACAUAUCUUGCCACUGGCAUUUCCCUGGACCUUAGCGAUGAUGGGCAACCUAGCGACGACUCUCGGCGUGAGGGUGGUGCGUUCUGAUUCGAACAGAGACCACCCAAGC
ncrna:unclassified sequences Flavobacterium-1 RNA